rnacentral:rRNA from 1 species
CCCAGACUCCUACGGGAGGCAGCAGUGGGGAAUAUUGCACAAUGGGGGGAACCCUGAUGCAGCGACGCCGCGUGGGUGAAGGAGCACCUCGGUGCGUAAAGCCCUAUCGGCAGGGAAGAAAAGCGAACAGGUUCGCCUGGACGGUACCUGACUAAGAAGCCCCGGCUAACUACGUGCCAGCAGCCGCGGUAAUACGUAGGGGGCAAGCGUUAUCCGGAUUCACUGGGGGUAAAGGGAGCGUAGACGGCGACGCAAGUCUGGAGUGAAAGCCCGGGGCCCAACCCCGGGACUGCUCUGGAAACUGUAUGGCUGGAGUGCAGGAGAGGUAAGUGGAAUUCCUAGUGUAGCGGUGAAAUGCGUAGAUAUUAGGAGGAACACCAGUGGCGAAGGCGGCUUACUGGACUGUACCUGACGCUGAGGCGCGAAAGCGUGGGUAGCGAACGGGAUUAGAUGCCCCUGUAAA